rnacentral:tRNA from 1 species
CAGGGAGACAAACUGAUUGUGAUGUCUGAGCGCUAUGAGGAUGUAAAUCUAAGUAGCAUAUUUGUCUCAGGCCACGAUCCUGUCAUCUCGAAGGUCGAUCGGUACCUCAGCUGACGAAUCAGAAAGCUGAGAUUGCAUUCAGAGAUGAAUGCAAUCAAAGAAUUGUCUGAGGAGUCUUUUCAGUUCCUAACUUUGUCUAGGUCACACCCCACAGAGAGUGAGUCCCGCGAGGGAGGAGCUUAAUGGAGAGGUAAAACUCCUGGGCCAUUAGCUCAGGUGGUUAGAGCGCACCCCUGAUAAGGGUGAGGUCCCUGGUUCAAGUCCAGGAUGGCCCAUUCGUGUUUGGGGGUUUAGCUCAGUUGGUAGAGCGCCUGCUUUGCAAGCAGGAUGUCAGCGGUUCGAGUCCGCUAACCUCCGCUGACCAAACCCUUCACAGCGAAAGCAGGAGGAGAAAACCGAGCCAUGGCUAUUGUGUGACGAGACUCGUCCGCUGAUAAAGAAUUCAGCUUCUUUUCAUGUUUGAUAUUAAUUCAAUCAAAUUGAAAAGACGCUGAGCUCAACCAGUAUCAAUUAAAACCUUAACAAUUUUAACUGAUACUCUGAUGUUCAGCAGAACCUUGACAACUGCAUAAGUAAAGUCUGGAAAUGAAAGCAUCUCAUGGAUGCUCAAUUUUCACCGAUGAGUUUCGAGAGAAACUUAGAAGCUGUGAAUUGAGAAGUUCUUGAGCAAGAGCCGAGACCCAGCAUUGUUCCUCAAUCAUCGCCGAGAUGAGAGGGGUUUGAUUUCGGAAUUCAAACCAUUGAUGACAAGAGGAAGGCAAUGCAAGUUGUCUUAAUUUUGUUAUGAGAAGGUGAAUCCAGGAGAAUCUGCAAUUCAAGGCAGCAAUGCAAUGUUGGGAUACAUU